rnacentral:rRNA from 1 species
CCGGCGACCGGCGCACGGGUGAGUAACGCGUAUGCAACCUGCCCGUUUCAGCGGGAUAACCCGGAGAAAUCCGGCCUAAUGCCGCAUGUGGCCGAGGGGAGGCAUCUUCUUUCGGCCAAAGGAGGCGACUCCGGAGACGGAUGGGCACGCGUGACAUUAGCUAGUUGGCGGGGUAACGGCCCACCAAGGCGACGAUGUCUAGGGGUUCUGAGAGGAAGGUCCCCCACACUGGUACUGAGACACGGACCAGACUCCUACGGGAGGCAGCAG